rnacentral:sRNA from 1 species
AUUGUCCCCAUUUUGCAGAUUAGUCCACUGAAACUGGGGCUCUGGGUGAACAAGCUGUAAAAACCCUACCCUCUGUGGGUGUUACUACCCCUGCCCCCAGGACACGUACCUGUCUGGCUGCAGUUUGCCCUCACUCCUGCAGGGUGGGUAAGCAGGCUAGGAGUUUAAGGCUUUGCUUCCAGCAAGUUAGUGGCAAAGCUGGGCCCCAGGCUGAUGGGUCAGGUAUCACAUUGUGCCUGGCAGUUGACAGCCUCCUUCUAAAACUGCCUCUUGCCUUGGCAGGAAAAGGAGAAGGCCCAGUUGGCAGCAGAAGCUCUAAAGCAGGUGAACCGUGUUUCUGGAAGCCGGGAGCCAAGGCCUGCCAGGGAGAGGCUCUUGGAGUGGCCCGAUCGGGAACUGGAUCGGGUCAACAGCUUCCUGAGCAGCCGUCUGCAGGAGAUCAAAAACACUGUCAAAGACUCCAUCCGUGCCAGCUUCAGUGUGUGUGAGCUCAGCAUGGACAGCAAUGGCUUCUCUAAGGAGGGGGCUGCUGAGCCUGAGCCUCAGAGUCUACCCCCCUCAAACCUCAGUGGCUCCUCAGAGCAGCAGCCUGACAUCAGCCUUGACCUGUCCCCUUUGACUUUGGGCUCCCCUCAGAACCACACGUUACAAGCUCCAGGCGAGCCAGCCCCACCAUGGGCAGAAAUGAGAGGCCCUCACCCACCAUGGACAGAGGUGAGGGGGCCCCCUCCCGGUAUCGUCCCCGAGAACGGGCUCGUGAGGAGACUCAACACCGUGCCCAACCUGUCCCGGGUGAUCUGGGUCAAGACACCCAAGCCGGGCUACCCCAGCUCCGAGGAGCCAAGCUCAAAGGAAGUUCCCAGUUGCAAGCAGGAGCUGCCUGAGCCUGUGUCCUCAGGUGGGAAGCCACGGAAGGGCAAGAGGCAGGGCAGUCAGGCCAAGAAGAGCGAGGCAAGCCCAGCCCCCCGGCCCCCAGCCAGCCUAGAGGUUCCCAGUGCCAAGGGCCAGGUCGCUGGCCCCAAGCAGCCAGGCAAGGUCCUAGAGCCUCCCAAAGUAGGCAGCUGUGCUGAGGCUGGAGAGGGGAGCCGGGGGAGCCGGCCAGGACCAGGUUGGGCUGGCAGUCCCAAAACUGAGAAGGAGAAGGGCAGCUCCUGGCGAAACUGGCCAGGCGAGGCCAAGGCACGGCCUCAGGAGCAGGAGUCUGUGCAGCCCCCAGGCCCAGCAAGGCCACAGAGCUUGCCCCAGGGCAAGGGCCGCAGCCGCCGGAGCCGCAACAAGCAGGAGAAGCCAACCUCCUCCUUGGACGAUGUGUUCCUGCCCAAGGACAUGGACGGGGUGGAGAUGGAUGAGACUGACCGAGAGGUGGAGUACUUUAAGAGGUUCUGUUUGGAUUCUGCAAAGCAGACUCGUCAGAAAGUUGCUGUGAACUGGACCAACUUCAGCCUCAAGAAAACCACUCCUAGCACAGCUCAGUGAGGCCCUGCCCAGGCUGAGCUUCUUCAGGGCGUCCUGAGGCCCCGACUGCCAGCUGAAGGCCUACAAUUUUUCCCUCCGUGUGCCCCACCCACCCGUCCAAGACCCUCUCUGCUCCCCACCAUCCUGGACCAACCAAAAGCUGAACGGAUGCCACACUGUGCUGGGGCCCCUUGACCUCAGCAGAGCCGCUUCCUGGUGCUACGCAGCCUCCACACUCAGAGCCCGUGGACUGGGCUGGCCUAAGGGCCAGGGCUGAUGGUACUGCUGGCCCAACACUGCUCUCUUUGUGUUUGGUUUUUUUGUUUUUGUUUUUAUUUUUUUCCAAUUCUUUACUUUUGAUACUGUGAAGAUCUUUCGUGCCGAAAGAUAAAGCAACAUUUGGACACAGA